UACGUAGGGUGCGAGCGUUGUCCGGAAUUAUUGGGCGUAAAGGGCUCGUAGGCGGUUUGUCGCGUCGGGAGUGAAAUCAUCUGGCUUAACUGGGUGCUUGCUUUCGAUACGGGCAGACUAGAGGUAUGCAGGGGAGAACGGAAUUCCUGAUGUAGCGGUGAAAUGCGCAGAUAUCAGGAGGAACACCGGUGGCGAAGGCGGUUCUCUGGGCAUGACCUGACGCUGAGGAGCGAAAGUGUGGGGAGCGAACAGG
rnacentral:rRNA from 1 species